CAGUGUAUAUGAAGCAGUUACACAGAAUGAAGCUUUGCAAAUAGAUUCAAAUACACAAUUAUAGCAACUGGUAAACCUGAAGAUCUUCUUGCAGUCUCAAGUUCUCAUUUAAAUGUAAUGCUAACAGCAGAGACCACUAUAUCAAAUGCAUGAAUGAAUGCGAGGAAAUUUUCAUGAUUUUUUU